rnacentral:rRNA from 1 species
CACGUAGGGGGCGAGCGUUGUUCGGAAUUACUGGGCGUAAAGGGCAUGUAGGCGGCCUGAUAAGCCUGGCGUGAAAGUCCACGGCUCAACCGUGGGAUUGCGUCGGGAACUGUCGGGCUUGAGUCACGGAGGGGAAGGUAGAAUUCCUGGUGUAGGGGUGAAAUCUGUAGAGAUCAGGAAGAAUACCAGUGGCGAAGGCGACCUUCUGGCCGAUGACUGACGCUGAGGUGCGAAAGUGUGGGGAUCAAACAGG